AAAAAUAAUGUUCGCCUGUUUAACAAAAACAUGUCUUUUUGAAUUAAAUAUAAAGUCUAACCUGCCCACUGAAAAUUUUUAAAUGGCCGCAGUAUUCUGACUGUGCAAAGGUAGCAUAAUCAUUAGUCUUUUAAUUGAAGGCUGGAAUGAAUGGUUGGACGAAAUAUUA
rfam:Drosophila ananassae strain TSC#14024-0371.13 Ctg01_4069, whole genome shotgun sequence.